GACGAACGCUGGCGGCGUGCUUAACACAUGCAAGUCGAACGGAAAGGCCCUGCUUGCAGGGUACUCGAGUGGCGAACGGGUGAGUAACACGUGGGUGAUCUGCCCUGCACUUCGGGAUAAGCCUGGGAAACUGGGUCUAAUACCGGAUAGGAACCAUCCUUAGUGUGGGGGUUGGAAAGUUUUUUCGGUGUAGGAUGAGCUCGCGGCCUAUCAGCCUGUUGGUGGGGUAAUGGCCUACCAAGCCGGCGACGGGUAGCCGGCCUGAGAGGGUGUACGGCCACAUUGGGACUGAGAUACGGCCCAGACUCCUACGGGAGGCAGAAGUGGGGAAUAUUGCACAAUGGGCGCAAGCCUGAUGCAGCGACGCCGCGUGGGGGAUGAAGGCGUUCGGGUUGUAAACUCCUCUCGCUAGGGACGAAGCUUUGUUGUGACGGUACCUAGAUAAGAAGCACCGGCUAACUACGUG
rnacentral:rRNA from 1 species